AUGAAUGGCCUCUGGGCCUUCAAUCUUGUAAACCAGUGGAAGCAAUGCGUGCUUCGACGCCUCGGCGUCGCUUUUAUGCUACAAUCGGUUAUUUGUGUCUGAAUCAAUCAUAAGAAAAUA
rnacentral:misc_RNA from 1 species